rnacentral:rRNA from 1 species
UAAGCGGAGGAAAGAAACUAACAAGGAUUCCCCUAGUAACUGCGAGUGAAGCGGGNAAAGCUCAAAUUUGGAAUCUGGUGGUCUUUGGCCAUCCGAGUUGUAAUUUAGAGAAGCGUCUUCCGCGCUGGACCGUGCACAAGUCUCCUGGAAUGGAGCGUCAUAGAGGGUGAGAAUCCCGUCUUUGGCAUGGAAUCCCAGGGCUUCUGUGAUGCGCUCUCGACGAGUCGAGUUGUUUGGGAAUGCAGCUCAAAAUGGGUGGUGAACUCCAUCUAAAGCUAAAUAUUGGCGAGAGACCGAUAGCGAACAAGUACCGUGAGGGAAAGAUGAAAAGCACUUUGGAAAGAGAGUGAAACAGUACGUGAAAUUGUUGAAAGGGAAACGCUUGAAGUCAGUCGCGUCGACCGAGACUCAGCCUUGCCUCGGCUUGGUGUACUACUCGGCUUGACGGGUCAGCAUCGAUCUCAAUCCUCGGAUAAUGGCAAGGGAAAGGUAGCACCUUUUUAGGUGUGUUAUAGUCCUCUGUCGCAUGCGAGGGUCGGGAUCGAGGAACUCAGCACGCACCUCAGGGUGUCGGGGCCUUGGCCCACGUUUACGUGCUUAGGAUGCUGGCGUAAUGGCUUUAAACGACC